rnacentral:rRNA from 1 species
GACGAACCGUGCGAACGUUGUUCGGAUUCACUGGGCUUAAAGGGCGCGUAGGCGGCGGCUCAAGUCGGGGGUGAAAUCCUCUCGCUUAACGAGAGAAUUGCUUUCGAUACUGGGUCGCUGGAGGGAGAUAGGGGUGCGCGGAACUUCCGGUGGAGCGGUGAAAUGCGUAGAUAUCGGAAGGAACGCCGGUGGCGAAAGCGGCGCACUGGAACGGUACUGACGCUGAGACGCGAAAGCGUGGGGAGCGAACAGG